UACGAAGGGGGCUAGCGUUGCUCGGAAUCACUGGGCGUAAAGGGUGCGUAGGCGGGUCUUUAAGUCAGGGGUGAAAUCCUGGAGCUCAACUCCAGAACUGCCUUUGAUACUGAAGAUCUUGAGUCCGGGAGAGGUGAGUGGAACUGCGAGUGUAGAGGUGAAAUUCGAAGAUAUUCGCAAGAACACCAGUGGCGAAGGCGGCUCACUGGCCCGGUACUGACGCUGAGACACGAAAGCCAGGGGAGCAAACGGG
rnacentral:rRNA from 1 species